CAUUUAAUUUCUGGAGUUUUCCCAACGCACCGAAAUAAAAUAAAAUCCUCGAAUCGUUUCCGAUUGCUCGCAAAUGUUUCGCUUCUACGAACUCUACUCGCUGUACCUGAAGAAAAUGUCCCGUUUCGGAACAACGCCGACUUGGUGUCUAUGCGAGAAACUGCCGCGGUCAAUCCUGCACAUUGCUCCGACUCCCGAUGUUUGGUGCAAGGUGUGCGGACGACGUCGUCGACCACGCGCUUACGCCAGCUCCUCCAGCGAUGAGGAGGAGAAAGCAGCGGAGCGACGUCGUGCCGAGGAGGAAAAGGCGCAGCCGGGCUUAGUGCACGCCAAGAAGCCACAACUCAAGUCAGUGGCAAAAUGCAGAUACAGCAACAAUAAAGUUAAUGUGGGUCGCACUGGACAUUAUCGCAAGCCGCAGAGGAUGCAGCCCAAAGGCAAGGAUGGAGAUGAUCCAGCCACAGGAAAUUUGCUAGAAAUUGACGCGGAGGCAAAGGCAUCCACACCGCCAGCAUCGACACCAGCUCGGAAAACGACCGAAUCCUUGUGGCAUCUAUCCAGCAGUGAUAUGCCCAACCUGGAGGCGAUUGCACCCGAUAUAGUCAAUCGACCGGUGCAUCUGCGCCAGCGUCAGCCCGUCCAACAUGAACAGAUCUUUUACAGCGAAUUUAUACCACUGAAUCAUCCCAUUACGAAUGUGGCAAGUGGCGCCAUCUCCAAGCGGCAACGUCACGUCUUUGGACGACCUUUACCUCGACACUGCAGCCGUCCGCUGCCGCCGCUCUCCGAGAUUCCAACCCGGCAGCAGAUAGUGCGAGCCAAAGGCGGCGGCUUGGCGUCUAAAGAUAUUCAUGUCGCUGAUGCAGUCAGUCAGUUCGAACCAUUUGACAGCUACGAUGGACCCUCGGAGGAUGCGCUGGUUGUGGACAGCGCCUGGCUUGUGCUGCAUCAGUCCAACGCAUCGCAGAUGGCGCAGCGAAUGUAUUUGCCACGCACACAACACUUCGAGUUGGAACCAAGCAGCAGCAGCAACUCCACAUCGUCACCCUUUGACGAGCCCACAGCUCCGCCGGCAGAUCCUCAGGCCGCUACUGUGAUCGCUCCAUUGCAGCCGGACAGCAGUGCAUCCAGCAGCAAUUCGAGCAACAGCAGCAGUCUGAAAUGCUCCACUCCCCGACCAGAGUCGGCCUGCAGUCGUGGCGGAGAGGUGCCCGCCUACGACGAUCUGCUGGCCAUUGAGGGUACGGAUAAAAUGUUGUGGAACACACCAACGAAUCCAAUAAUUAAGAACGAAAUGACUGAGCUAACCCUAAUGACCGAACAGGACAAACCCGCUGAAAGCCAUCAAUCAGCCUCCGUUCAAGUAAUCACCGAAGCCGGCGACAGACAAGACAAGACUCCAACGAAAAACGUUGAAGAAGACACUCCUUUGUCAGAUCCAAAUCAUUCCAAUGACAUGUCAAAUGAAUUGCCUUUAAAUUCUUCAAAUAAAUCAGCAGGUGAUGCAAAGUAUUUCAAGCGUUUUCCCAAAAACGGAAACAAUUCCAAAGUAUGCCGCAAACUUCGUGCUCAUCGAAAAAGGGGGGAUGUAGUCGAAUCGGCAGGGCAAAUGCCAAAUAGGCAAUCAAUGUGGUCUGUAAUCAGUGAUUUAUUCGUACCAGUCUCGGGCAAAACAAUUGCAUCGGGCGAUGGCGAUGAACUGAAGCCCUUGAAAGGUGCACAGAAAAUAGACUAUGGCACCAUGAAGCCAUCGGGUCCAAAGCCAAAUAUCAGCAAAAAAAAGUGCUGCCCAAAAUGUGGCUUGAAUAAACGAAAUGAGAACACCUUGCCAAAAGCUUCCUCAACAAUAAAUCGAAAUGGAAUCCACAAGCCCAGCUGUAUCUACCAUACAUCGACAGAUACCAAUUUCAAUAAUUCUAAAACUAGAUACACAAAGAACUUGGACUUAAAAGCUAAAAGAAGACAAAAAUCUGAAUCUAAGCAAAAAAUAUCAACUAUUAGCAUUAUCAAAUCGGAUGAACUUAGAAAUGAUGUCGAACCAAUUGUCAAAUUGGAACGGGCACAAUCCUCUACAAAUUCCACAAAUUUCGAAUCAUGUUUCGGAUAUACAACUCCGAAGGUUAAACUUUCCAAAGAAACUGUAGAGGUGCAGCCUCUUAAGAAUACAAAAACUUUAGAUGGGCAGAAGCAACUUGGAUGUCAGAAAACGAAAUCCUUUGAACGAGUUCAAUAUGCAUGCAGUGAGUUAAUGCUACCCAAAAUGGUGUCCUUCACCAAAAAUGUGACCUGCAAUGGACAGAUUAUAAGACAUUUUCUAAGCCCUGCUAUUACAAAGGAACCUUUGGACAUCUUUGAAUUUCGAACUCCAGAUAUACAAGCAAAUGAAAUGUUCGAUUUUCUAAAGGUUAAAGAUAAUCACAGCGCUGAGUCGGACAACUGGGAAUCAUUUGUUGCAGAGUACGCAAGUUCUCAGCUAACUGAAGAAUCAUCUGAAAAUGGUAUAUUCAGGAAAAUGCAUAAACCAAAAAUAUCAAAGCUUCCUGCUUGGCCAGCUCAUCCAUUCAAGCACAGAAAGCGGCAUAUUAAAUAUAAGCCACUGCAAAUCAGCGAUGAAAAUAUGAUUAUUGAAAGCAAGCCACAAGAAUGCAAUGCUAAGCAGAAAAAAACCCUAAGGAAUCGUAAAAGUGGCAAGAAUAAUGACUUGUGGAUAGCAAAUGAUUUGGUGCAACAGAAAAUCAAUGAAAUGAUGACGAAGCCUAUUAGGCUGCUAACCUUUAAUUAGUCAACGUUAUCAUUGUAGAAAAAUAUACAUAGAAGUAAUAUUCAAUUCAGAAAUAAAAUGUGCACACCAGUGGAAUUAAGGAAAAUGGCAGGAGCACCUCAAGUACAUUAUCGAAAUCCUGCAGCUGCCUUGCUUAGUGGCUGUGCCACCAUAACCUUUUGGCUGAUAUAUUGGAUGGCAUAUUGUCUGAUUUUGUUAGCCGGUGUCGUUGUCGUAUUUGGUUUGGUCCUUCCACGCUAUGCCUGGUAUUUGUUGAAUUAUUUGCUAGGCCAAUAUCAUAUCGAGCGGCAGUUUAGCGACGAGUUAUAGACAGUACAUAUAUAUUUUCUAUCUUAAUCAUAUUUAUAACGGAAUAAAGUCGA